CAGUAGCCGCGGUAAUACGAAGGGGGCUAGCGUUGCUCGGAAUGACUGGGCGUAAAGGGCGCGUAGGCGGCGGCCAAAGUCAGGCGUGAAAUUCCCGGGCUCAACCUGGGGGCUGCGUUUGAUACUUGGUUGCUUGAGUGGGGAAGAGGGUCGUGGAAUUCCCAGUGUAGAGGUGAAAUUCGUAGAUAUUGGGAAGAACACCGGUGGCGAAGGCGGCGACCUGGUCCUUUACUGACGCUGAGGCGCGAAAGCGUGGGGAGCAAGCAGGAUUAGAUACCCGAGUAGUCCCUGUCUCUUAUAC
rnacentral:rRNA from 1 species